GGGGGUAUAGCUCAGGGGCAGAGCAUUUGACUGCAGAUCAAGAGGUCCCCGGUUCAAAUCCGGGUACCCCCU
rnacentral:tRNA from 2 species